rnacentral:rRNA from 1 species
AUUGAACGCUGGCGGUAUGCUUAACACAUGCAAGUCGAACGGUAACAGGCCUUCGGGCGCUGACGAGUGGCGGACGGGUGAGUAACGCGUAGGAAUCUGCCUUAUAGUGGGGGACAACGUGGGGAAACCCACGCUAAUACCGCAUACGCCCUACGGGGGAAAGGAGGGGAUCUUCGGACCUUUCGCUAUGAGAUGAGCCUGCGUUAGAUUAGCUAGUUGGUAGGGUAAAGGCCUACCAAGGCGACGAUCUAUAGCUGGUCUGAGAGGACGAUCAGCCACACUGGGACUGAGACACGGCCCAGACUCCUACGGGAGGCAG